rnacentral:rRNA from 1 species
UAGGGCGCGAGCGUUGUCCGGAUUUAUUGGGCGUAAAGAGCUCGUAGGCGGCUUGUCGCGUCGUCCGUGAAAACCCACAGCUCAACUGUGGGCUUGCGGUCGAUACGGGCGGGCUAGAGUUCGGUAGGGGAGACUGGAAUUCCUGGUGUAGCGGUGAAAUGCGCAGAUAUCAGGAGGAACACCGGUGGCGAAGGCGGGUCUCUGGGCCGAUACUGACGCUGAGGAGCGAAAGCGUGGGGAGCGAACAGG